rnacentral:rRNA from 1 species
UACAGAGGGGGCGAGCGUUGUUCGGAAUUACUGGGCGUAAAGGGUCUGUAGGUGGCCAACUAAGUCAGACGUGAAAUCCCUCAGCUUAACUGGGGAACUGCGUCUGAUACUGGAUGGCUUGAGUGUGGGAGAGGAAUGCGGAAUUCCAGGUGUAGCGGUGAAAUGCGUAGAUAUCUGGAGGAACACCGGUGGCGAAGGCGGCAUUCUGGACCAUAACUGACACUGAGAGACGAAAGCCAGGGGAGCAAACGGG